rnacentral:lncRNA from 1 species
UGUAACACCCCAAAACCCGAAUGGUUAUAAUUGCCAUGUGUUCUUAUACGACUUAGCAUGAAAUAAACAACUAGGUUAUUUAACCUAGUUAAGUAACGCCCCAAAAACUCGAACUACUAAAUUUGCUAGUGAGACCCCAUGUUUAAUAAAAUAGAAUGUAGUAACUAGGUUAUUAUACCUAGUCAAAAGUUUAGCAAAGCAAACAAGGGAACAAACUUGAGGGACCAUAUAUGAACAAGGGGGAAAGUUAUGUUUUAAUAAACAAAAUCAUAACACACAACACACAUACAUCAUGUGUGUGUGUGCGUGGAAUGCUCUGGAGAAGAACAAAGGGGUGUAAACCCUAGUUCUUAAAGAAGCUCCAAAUUGAAGGUUGAAUCGAGGCUCAAAUCUAUUAAGGAACAUGAAUUAGUGAUCACCUAGACAAGGGGAUCGUGAGGUAUGUCUUGAAACUUAGAUUGAUGAACUUGUAUGAAGUGGGUUAUGUUCCAAUCCGCGAAUUGGUAUGAAAUUGAUCAUUUAUAUGUGUUAGAUUCACCAUAUAGGACAUGGAUUAUGCAUGGUUUAGGUUAAUUUGAUGUUUAGGGGUGAAACCCGUUUGUUAUUGUGAGGAUGAUGACUUGAGUCACCACCUAUGUCCAAUUCUUGUUGAAAGAUUGAUGUAAUAUGCGGGUAUGAUGAAUUGUUGUUAGGUGAUUGAAUGAAAUGCGAUGAUAAUAUGUUUGAUGUUUAAUUUUAAAUACUACUUGUUGAUGAGUAGAAGGAUUUGAUGAACUAUGUAUGAAUUUAGAAGAUUAUGCAUGAAUUAGUUGUACGUUAUGCUUAAAAGGUGGUACGCACGCCAAGUGUAUGAUGAAAUGCUUAAGUGAAGUUAGGAUGCAAAAUGUUAUGAAAAAGCUUGGUGUAUAUAGGAAUGAAAUACGAAAAUGAUGGUAUGAUCAUGUUAAAUUACUAAUUUGAAUAUGGUUGUAAGCACAUUUGCAUCGAGAGUAGGUAAUGUAUAUGGUGCCUUUUUGUAUAGCCUACUUUGAUAUUACGAGUAGAUGAGAAUAAGUCGAAAGUUCACAUAAUGAAUUGUUGACUUCUGAAAGUCAACUAUGUAUAGGAAGCAUGAUAUGACUCGUUGCCAUAAAAAUAAGACUAUAGGAAGUCGUAAGUUACAUGUUAUGCCGAUACGUGAUAUUGGUGAUGGCAUGACGAAUUUCAUGAGUUUGAAAAAGAUAUGAAUUUGAUUAUAUGUCUUAUGCUUGUUGAUUGUGACUAAAGUAAGUCAAACGUGAAAUAUGAGAUUGAUAUGAUUGUUAACAUGUACAAACGAGUAUGCUAAUAAGAGUGUGAUUUCGACGAAAUGGAAGUAUAGGAAUCAAGUCGAAACGGGCUCAAGCACGAGGUGUUAACGGGCCAAGAGGAAGCAAGGGAUCAGAUAUGAACACGGAUGCAUGAGGAACGAGUACAUCGGAUUCUUACGAAAUUUAAGCCCAACCCGGAAUAAGAGGAUGAGCGAUACACGGACUUCUUCUGCUACUUAGGAAGUGAAGCGGACGUAGAUCGAGUCAAGAGCAAGGAUUGCAAGGAUAGAUCGAUCAUAUAGUUGAAAUAUAUAACGUCUAGAAAUGUAAAUUUUAGUAUGAAUGUUGUGAAUUCUUUUAUAGAACGUUUAACAUUUUAGCUUUUGGAACCUUCUCGAAAGUAAUGUCGUUAAUAAGGAAAGAAACUUUAAAGCUCUUUUCCG